UGUAAAAGAAACCUAGCAGUGACGCAGACAACUGAGCGAUACGAGCUCCCAUUCUAACGCUGUCAUGUGGAGUCUAGAAGUGUAAUGGGGAGAUGUGGAAAGUCUAUUGAUACAUUUCAUCAUGCCGGAUUGUUCUCCGAGAUUGUCCGAAUCGGAAGACACGAGUGUGACACUAUGCAUAAGAAGAAGGUGUUCCGUAUGGCGCCCUUAGCGACAUCCAGCUGAGUUCACAGGGACAGACUAGGUAUGCAUAUGUAAGCCGUGGAUCAGUAACCUCUGAUGGAAGUUAUCACCCAGUGGCCCACGCACCACAGCAAAGUAAAGCAAUCGUCAUUCGUCAGUUGGUCACAUGGAUUAUCGCUGACGACGACAAAACAUCCGCGCGGUAUCGCGUAUCAUUCUGAUUGUUUAGGCUAGGAGGCAAUAUCGUUUUGUUUAUUGUGAGGUUUGAUGAAAGUAAAAUAAAGAAUGUCCAGGCAGUUCAUUUCUGACCGUGAUCGAGAGUAGACUUUUUUUAAAAAAGCCGAACCGUCCGUCGAAGACUUAACUGGCGCCCGAAUCUGGGACCUGAUAGUAAUUGUAUAAGUUCAGUCGAACGAAGCCACCUUCAGCUGCCUCCAAGAGAGAAUUCGUCAUCCCGGACCCAGAGCCAUCAUCAAUCAAGUUGGUGAUUUGAGGAGACGGAGCGCGAAGAGGUGCACUACCAGGAUACCCAACCCCGGAAAUAGGACCAUCCAGGACUGAGGCGUUGUCCCGCAGUACAAACCGUACUUCCUGAGCUUCAAAGGACUUUCCAGGACCUAGGCGUUGUCCCGCAGCAUGCGAUUGUGCUUCCUGAUUCUCUUGCACCUUCAUUCAAAUUGACCGAUCCAACACUUCACCCAUCGAGGCACCCACGGCUACCAAAGACGUCCAGUACUAUCAACCAGCUUCAACCAUUCCGGCAGGGCUAACCGUCUAACGUUGACCCAGGAGGCUCAACACUCGGGGGAGAGCAGUUAUCACCCAGUGGCCCACGCACCACAGCAAAGUAAAGCAAUCGUCAUUCGUCAGUUGGUCACACGGAUUAUCGCUGACGACGACAAAACAUCCGCGCGGUAUCGCGUAUCAUUCUGAUUGUUUAGGCUAGGAGGCAAUAUCGUUUUGUUUAUUGUGAGGUUUGAUGAAAGUAAAAUAAAGAAUGUCCAGGCAGUUCAUUUCUGACCGUGA